ACUAAUACACUAAGUUCUUCCAACGUAGCUCCUUCAAACAAAAUUGGAAAACCUAAAAUUGCAACGUCUUAGUUCUUGCGCAGUUCCUUGUUAAACCCUAGUCGUAGCCCGUUCCUCGCCGGUGUUCUAUUACCGCAAUCUCGCCGGUGUUCUAUUACCGCAAUCUCGCCGGUGUUCUAUUACCGCAAUCUCGCCGGUGUUCUGUUACCGCAACCUCGCCGGAGCACGAUUUCACGAACCCUAGCGCCGUCGUCUUCUUCAUCUUCACACUUCAACUCAGGAACUUUUGGGAAGACACAGUCAUUAACCUUUGCAUCAAAUUCGGUUGAAGUUGUUCAUACUGGUGCGGCUUUGCAUUGCUGGUCAUCUCUCUCCAAUAUCUGUAUCAUCAAUUGAUUGAAACUCACUGAGAUGGAUAUUCCAGGAGCUAAACUAUUACAUGAGGCGUUUCUAAACUGAAAGGUUACAACUGUUUCCGUUUACCUAAAUGUACGGAGAUGCAUAUUGCCUAGUUGCUGCUGUGCGAAAUACCAUGACAGGACUAUUCGUCUAUCUCUGUGACAAUAUUUUGUUUACAUUGGAAGGAGUAUAAAUACUGACAAGAGUAAAGUUUGGUAUUUAAGAGGCAGCUUGAUACGCAUCCUGGGAAGGCGACUGCAGUAUUCCAAAUCGAAGGCGAGCUCAUGUCCAGACAACCGGAAUUGAAUGUAUAAAAGUUACAAGGUAAGCUCCUGCAUGACAGUAUGGUUAAUUCGAACAAUUUAUACAACAAAUAUGUCUUAGCCUUGCCAUGAGGUUCCAGCUGCAGGAUUAGUUCUUCAGUUGCUACAAAAAUGGAAGAAAUUGAAGGCAGCUCCCAAACAGGUCUUUACUCUUACUUGGCCAAAGUGAUUGGAAGAUGAAAGCAACCAAUAGUAGUCACGACACCUAAUGAUGCUAGGCCACGAAGGGUUUAAGUUUCCAGGGACGGUUCAUUCCCAUUGAUUCGCAAAGUGGAGAUCAAACUGACCUCCAUUUGUGUUAUGGAUGAAGUCGACUCUGAGGAGGUAUCCUCCUGAUGGAAAAGCGGGAAAGUAAAGAAACAAACAAUGUAGUUGGUGGCAGAUUGUCCAUGGCGCAAAGACACCAUCAAGAAUAAUUUCGAACAACAUCGUCACCGAACCAGGUUCAAAAGUAUCUCUCCUUUGCUUUUUCGUUUGUUGUUCGAAACUUGGAAACUAGGUGAAAGCUUAGUCAAGUAAUUCUGUAAUUGAAUCGACAUUGGUAAUUGUCAACGAGUGCUCAGAAUUUAUAAUUGCACAUGCUAGUUUAGCACUCUGUUAGAUUUAUUUGUUAAACCUUUAGUAUCAUACUAAAUAUAUCAAAACAUGAAUUAGUUGCCAAAAGGAGAGAUUAAGUAGCAUGCUUAUUUUUGUUUUUGGUCAUAUACUGUGAAUUAACAACAUUGUUGCACCAUUUUCUCUUGUUUUCGGAAGAGGCGAACUCGUCGAUGAUCCUUUGCUCCACCUUACUUUACCUUAGCUUUAUUGGUCCUGCCCUUAACCAGAUCACAUAUAUAGAACCAUCUUUUCCUUUUUAAAUAUCAAAAGUGACUUUUAUUGCUGGCACUUUAAAACUGGGGUCCACCAUACAUUGAUAUUUCUUGAUUGAAUGGCUUGUCAAAAGUAAACACCAACUCUCUAGAAUUACUACCAGAAUCAGUUGAUGUGUUUUGGUACAGCCACAAGAACUAUAAUUGAAACAUUCUAUGAAAAUUACUUGACAAUCCUUGACAUGGAAAGUUCUUGAAAAACUUGAAGAAGAAAAUGUGCUUGAAGUAAAUUGGUUGAUGGAAUUACUGAGGGAGGUGAUGGUGUGUAUGUUUAUUUUGGUUUCCAAGUACAGAGAGAUCAAUGCAACAACAUGUUAUUUUACAAACUAAUGAGGCCAAACAGGUUUUUGAUUUCCUUCCCUUCUGUUUGUUCUUUUGGCCUUCAUUGUGAUAGAUUAAAAGCAACAUUGAAACUAAUUUGCACAAUGUGUGACCAAACUCAUGUAGCUACAAUUCCGGCUUGUCAGUUCCGGUUUCCCGUUAACGUGAAUCUGGGGGAUUAUUUCUUUGGAUCGGGGCUUGAGGGUCUGAUCCAGCAACUGGCUGAGAACGAUCCGAGUCGGCGCGAGACUCCUCCUGCGUUAAAAUAUUUAACUAGUUGAUUACAACAUAAGGUGUGGUUCUAUAAUUGCUUGUUUUGCUUUCUUUAGUAUGUUAAAUGUCAUAAAUAUGGUAAACUGCACCAGUCAACAAGAUAAAAAACAUCGAACCAAGAAUUGACACUGCAUUCUUCAAGUAUGAGUGUUUUUCUCUGUUUUGAGUUUUGAAUUUGAUUAGUUGAUUUGAAGUUCCAAAUUGAAUUUUUUAUUAUUUUAUGAAAUGAAGGCUUGUAAGUGUGCUUGGGGAUUCAAUUUUCAGAUGUGGGGUUAUGAAAUAAGAGGUCUAACAGGUUUUAGUCGGAAUAAAAGGGUAAGAUGGGAAAUAAAGGGGCGAGGGAUAAUCAAGUAUAGAGAGAAGUGGUGGGGGAAUGGGAAGUUGUCUUAGAUAUGAUUCCGUAUCUGCGUUUAGGCUAUGUUUCAGAUCCUUCUGAGAUGCAAUCUGUCAUCUCCUCCGAAGGUCCAGUUUGUCCUGUAAGUUUGUUUCGUGUGUUUUCUUUAUCCAAAUUUGAGGAAUUUUAAGAAUGCCACAGACCAAAAUCUAGUUUUGUCAUGGAUAUUUGUAAAAUCAAGUUCUCUUGAUGUCCUGCAAACUUGCCUAUUUCAUAUUUUGCUUUCUUGACUUGAGUUGAGACUCUGAUCUGAUCAUUAAUUAAGUAUUGUAAUAAAUGAAAUCUUGUUUUAGUUCCUUACCCUUUUUGUAAAAAUAGUUUAAAGUUACUCUAACCUAAGAAACUGGAGAGUUAAUCUUGUGAUGUGAAAAGUUGACUCUAAUUAUUUGUUCUAGAUGAGCCCAUGUAUGAAGUGGGCCAUGCUGGACCAACUUGCUGAUUAUUUCAAUUCCCGGUUGGCUGCCUACCCUACAACAUUGGCUGACGAUGAAUCUAUGGUACUAUUUGUUUGAAUUUGAAAUUGACCAAUAUUUUUCAACUUUUCACUUAUAAUUUUUAUGUUGCUUUAGCUGGCAGAUGAUAGUUUGAAGCUAGAAAAGAAAAUGCUUCAUGCAUGUUUGCAGGAAAUCACGGAUUCCAUAAACCAGCUACCAGACCAGUGUAAAACAUUCAUCAAUUUUGGUUAUUGUGUUGAAAAUUGUUUUCACACCAACUUGUAUGUUUUAUCGAUUGUUUAAAACAUUAUAUUGAUCGUCAACUAUUUGGUUAUUGUGUGUUGAAUUGACAUUUUGUUUUUUAUAUUGCUUGUUGUAUAUUAUGAUUGUUGACUUCAGAUUAUCAUUGAAGCCCCAAACAUUGGCCAGGUAGCUAUAUUAAUUUUACAUGCUUUCAUUUUCUUUUUAGUGUGCCAUUUUGUUUUUUAGUAUUGAUCUAAUGAAGCUCCAAACCCUAAACAUAUAUGGGCCCCCUGUUCUUAAUUCUCAUUGAACUUACACACCCUUUUGCACAUGUUCUUCAAAUAUAUGUCUUGGAUAUUUAUUUGUUUUGAUACCAUAGGAGGCCUAUUUGAUAUUUGAAAUCCUUGAGGGAGAUAAUCUACUAUUCAUAUUAUUGUCAAAUUAGAGGAGAGAAGCAUGAAUCAAAUGGUUUCAGUUUCCAUGCUCGCCAUCUUGCUCAGCGGUAUAGUCGGAUGAGACAAGAAGCAGAGACUCAUCAUGGAAGAAAUUAUCAAUUGAUCAAAGAGAUUAUUUCUUUGACUUAUUUCAGGUAAUCUGAACAUUGCCUAAACAUUUUAUAUGAUUAAAACUAUAGGAAUUGGAAUUGGAAUUAUACCUUGUGUAAAUUGAACUAUUAUGGAAGAAGAUUAUGACUUCAUUGAUGCUAGAGAUGUCAAUGGGUUACAUAAGGCAGCCUUAUUAAAUGAUAUCAAACUAACAAUCAUUUAGUAGU